rnacentral:rRNA from 1 species
CCUACGGGAGGCAGCAGUGAGGAAUAUUGGUCAAUGGACGAGAGUCUGAACCAGCCAAGUAGCGUGAAGGAUGACUGCCCUAUGGGUUGUAAACUUCUUUUAUAUGGGAAUAAAAUGUUCCACGUGUGGAUUUUGUAUGUACCAUAUGAAUAAGGAUCGGCUAACUCCGUGCCAGCAGCCGCGGUAAUACGGGGGAUACGAGAGUUAUCCGGAUUUAUUUGGUUUAAAGGGAGCGUAGGUGGAUUGUUAAGUCAGUUGUGAAAGGUUGCGGCUCAAACGUAAAAUUGCAGUUGAAACUGGCAGUCUUGAGUACAGUAGAGGUGGGCGGAAUUCGUGGUGUAGCGGUGAAAUGCUUAGAUAUCACGAAGAACUCCGAUUGCGAAGGCAGUUCACUGGACUGCAACUGACACUGAGGCUCGAAAGUGUGGGUAUCAAACAGGAUUAGAUACCCGAGUAGUC